UUGGGGAAUUGACAAUGGCGAAAGCCUGAUCCAGCAAUGCCGCGUGUGUGAAGAAGGCCUUCGGGUUGUAAAGCACUUUUGUCCGGAAAGAAAUCCUUGGCUCUAAUACAGUCGGGGGAUGACGGUACCGGAAGAAUAAGCACCGGCUAACUACGUGCCAGCAGCCGCGGUAAUACGUAGGGUGCAAGCGUUAAUCGGAAUUACUGGGCGUAAAGCGUGCGCAGGCGGUUUGCUAAGACCGAUGUGAAAUCCCCGGGCUCAACCUGGGAACUGCAUUGGUGACUGGGCAGGCUAGAGUAUGGCAGAGGGGGGUAGAAUUCCACGUGUAGCAGUGAAGUGCGUAGAGAUGUGGAGGAAUACCGAUGGCGAAGGCAGCCCCCUGGGCCAAUACUGACGCUCAUGCACGAAAGCGU
rnacentral:rRNA from 1 species